GGUUUUCUUAGGCCAAAGUGGGGGGCUAGACAUUGAGGGUAAUGAACUUCCACGUUUGGUCUAUGUUUCUCAUGAGAAGCGUCCAGGUUUCCAACAUCAUAAGAAAGUUGGUUCAAUGAAUACACUUGUGAGUAGAACAGUUAUAUAUAUAUAUAUAUAUAUAUAUAUAUAUAUAUAUAUAUAUAUAUAUAUAUUUUUUUUUUUGUUUCUGUGCAUAGAUAGCCUUGAACAGUUCAUCCAACUAGCUUGCAAGUUCGCGUGUCAACAGUUCUUACUAAUGGGCCAUUUUUAUUGAAUCUUGAUUGUGAUCAUGACAUAAACAACAACGAGGCAUUGAGAGAAGCAAUGUGUUUUAUGAUGGAUCCAAAUCUUGGAAAAUAUGUCUGUUAUGUUCAGUUUCCUCAAAGAUUUGACGGUAUUGAUAGGAAUGAUCGAUAUGCCAACCGA
rnacentral:lncRNA from 1 species